GUUUUUUUAGCCGAGUGUUAGGGCGUGUGCCUGCUAAGUACAUGCGUUUUCCCAACGAUAGUCCAAAUCUCUCAAGCAACG
rfam:Ipomoea nil DNA, scaffold: scaffold1525, cultivar: Tokyo-kokei standard.